rnacentral:rRNA from 1 species
AACACAUGCAAGUCGAGCGGCAGCGGAAAGUAGCUUGGUACUUUGCCGGCGAGCGGCGGACGGGUGAGUAAUGUCUGGGAAACUGCCUGAUGGAGGGGGAUAACUACUGGAAACGGUACCUAAUACCGCAUAACGUCCCAAGACCAAAGAGGGGGACCUUCGGGCCUCUUGCCAUCAGAUGUGCCCAGAUGGGAUUAGCUACUAGGUGGGGUAACGGCUCACCUAGGCGACGAUCCCUACCUGGUCUGACAGGAUGACCAGCCACACUGGAACUGACACACGGUCCAGACUCCUACGGGAGGCAGCACUGGGGAAUAUUGCACAAUGGGCG